GGCCUUGUGGUUUAGAGGUAUAAUUCUCGCUUCGGGAAAAUUCAAAAACUUCCCGGUCUUCUUCUGAAGAUCUGAAUAUGUGAGAGGUCCCGGGUUCGAAUCCCGGCAAGGCCC